rfam:Schistosoma margrebowiei strain Zambia genome assembly, scaffold: SMRZ_scaffold0000217
AGCUUUUCUAAUCCGUGCUGAGAUUUCGUAAGACACCAACCCAUUUAGGCUGAUUAGACUUCCAAGAUAAGUGAAGUU